GUACUCUUAAUUUAAUGGUUAAAAUAAUAGUAUACGGAACUAUUUAUAAAGGUUCGACUCCUUUAGAGUGCU
rnacentral:tRNA from 1 species